rnacentral:pre_miRNA from 1 species
UUUUCGCUCCUAAUUACUUUAAUACCAUUCACACCUAGUUUCACUUAUCUUACUUACCAUACAAAUUGUAUUCAAAUUUGAUUUUUAAUAAAAUUUGUAUGGUGAGUUGGAUUAGCAAAAUUAAAUGUGAUGAUAUUAGAGUGAUUCGGAGUGAGAA